GAUGAACGCUGGCGGCGUGCCUAAUACAUGCAAGUCGAGCGCAAAGAUCAGGAGCUUGCUCCUGUGAUUUGAGCGGCGGACGGGUGAGUAACACGUAGGCAACCUACCCUUGAGAUUGGGAUAACUACCGGAAACGGUAGCUAAUACCGGAUACGACCUUUCCACAUAAGUGGAGUUGUUAAAAGGCGGAUUUAUCUGCCGCUCAUGGAUGGGCCUGCGGUGCAUUAGCUAGUUGGUGAGAUAGUAGCUCACCAAGGCGACGAUGCAUAGCCGACCUGAGAGGGUGAUCGGCCACACUGGGACUGAGACACGGCCCAGACUCCUACGGGAGGCAGCAGUAGGGAAUCUUCCGCAAUGGACGAAAGUCUGACGGAGCAACGCCGCGUGAGUGAUGAAGGGUUUCGGCUCGUAAAACUCUGUUGUUAAGGAAGAAUACUUGAGGUAGUAACUGGCCUUGAGAUGACGGUACUUAACCAGAAAGCCACGGCUAACUACGUGCCAGCAGCCGCGGUAAUACGUAGGUGGCAAGCGUUAUCCGGAAUUAUUGGGCGUAAAGCGCGCGUAGGCGGUAAAAUAAGUCUGAUGUGAAAGCCCCCGGCUCAACCGGGGAGGGUCAUUGGAAACUGUUUUACUUGAGUACAGAAGAGGAGAGUGGAAUUCCAUGUGUAGCGGUGAAAUGCGCAGAGAUAUGGAGGAACACCAGUGGCGAAGGCGGCUCUCUGGUCUGUUACUGACGCUGAGGUGCGAAAGCGUGGGGAUCAAACAGGAUUAGAUACCCUGGUAGUCCACGCCGUAAACGAUGAGUGCUAAGUGUUGGGGGGUUUCCGCCCCUCAGUGCUGCAGCUAACGCAUUAAGCACUCCGCCUGGGG
rnacentral:rRNA from 1 species